rnacentral:lncRNA from 1 species
UGAGAGUAUCUGCUAGUUGAUCGGCACGAUGGAUAUGAACAACCCGAACCUUUUUGGCCUCGACAUGGUGGAGAACAAAGUCAAAAUCCACUGCAGCAUGCUUCAAACGACUUUGAAGAACUGGAUUUUUGCUCAAGAAUGUGGCUCCAAGAUUGUCACAAUAAAUAGUAGGCAAUUGAUGUACUGGAAAGCGCAACUCAGUGAGGAGAUUGGUAACCCAUAUGGUUUCAGAAAGGGCAUUGUCCACUGCCCUAUACUCAGACUCAGUGGAGGAGCGAGAGACAGUAUUCUGUUUCUUCGAUGACAAGCUAAUUGGAUUGUGACCAAGGAACAGGAUAUACCUAGAUGUGGAAACUCUGUCUGCAAUGUCCCCACCCCAAUCUGCAUCAGAGUAUACAUGUAGAUUGAAGUCCUUAAUAGGAGUUACACGUAAGCCUAGUUGGAUGGUGCCACGCAGGUAGCGAAGAACACGCUUCACAGCUUUCCAGUGAAGGUCUGACGGUGCUUGCAUAAACUGGGACAACUUAUUCACUGCAUAGGCAAUGUCCAAUCUAGUGAAAGAUAGGUAUUGAAGCCUACCUAAGACUCGACGAUAGCGUGUCGCAUCAGUCAAAUGAGUACCAUCAAACAAAGUGAACAACUCAGUUGCACUCAUUGGCGUGGAAACACUUGUGCAGUCGGUCAUCAAGAUCUCAUUCACAUAGUUUGCUUGGGUGCGAAUUAAACCAUAAGAGCUGUGUAUCACUUCAACACUUAGAAAGUAGUGAAGAUUCCCCAAAUCUUUAAUUGAGAAUUGAGAGGCAAGGGAAGCAAUGACCUGAUCGACACUUGAAGUGUUGCUCCCAGUAAUAAUAAUGUCGUCUACAUAUACAAGGACGAACAUUGUCUCACCUAGACCUUGUCUGACGAGUAGUGAGGCAUCAGAUUUCAUUUUAUCAAAGCCUAUAGAUGAGAGAUAACCUGUGAGAGCAUUGUACCACGCCUGUGGGGCUUGUUUCAAGCUAUAGUUUGCCUUGCGCAGCCUACAUAUAUGAGUUGGUUUGUCAUCAUUAGUGAAUCCCGGAGGUUGUGCCAUAUACACCUCCUCUUCCAGGUUGCUUUGAAGGAAUGCAUUGUUGACGUCCAACUGACGAAGUUGCCAGUUAUGGUGAAGUGCCACAUAGAGGACGAUUCGUUUCCAGUGAAGGUCUGACGGUGCUUGCAUAAACUGGGACAACUUAUUCACUGCAUAGGCAAUGUCCGUUCUAGUGAAAGAUAGGUAUUGAAU